AUUGAAGUUUGGGAUCUUCUAUUAAUAAACAAAUGUACUCUAGUAAACUUUCUCUCUUGUUAAUUUCGAUCAUUUUAAAUUCAGCGCAAUUAGCGACUGGAUCAGCCAGCAAUAAAUCCAAACAAGCUAUCGGUAAUCGUCCGAGUGUAUUUUCAUUGGAUUUCGCCUUGCCUGGAAAGUAUCACACCAAAGAAGCUCACUUCAUUUAUUGCGCCCAAUUCAGCUCUUAUUUCUGUCUGGUUAAGUACUGGCAACCCAAAUUUGUUGCUCAAGAGAAAACACCUGAAUUUGAUCCAAAAUCCAGGGGCAAGGAAAUGGAAAAUUUUUAUGAUUGGACAAAAAACAACUUCAGACGAAUCAACUGGUUCU